AGAAUGUCAAGUGAUUCCACUGAUCCAGGUGACAUCAUACCACCAACUCCAAAAAGUAUAAAAAGGAAAAGACCCCAGAACCAGAACUGAGUGAUCCAGACAGUGAUUUAAGUAGGCCCCCAAGUCCAAGCAUUCUUAAAAGGAGAAAAGUGUAUCACAUUGGUGCCUGGUUUCCCUGAUUGGUACAACAUUAAGUAUUCCGAGGAUCCUGCAAUUUAUACUUAUAAACUGAAGAAUGAUCUGGAAUCAGGGGACUUGAAAAUUAUAGUUUAAUAGACUUUGCAUUUGUUUCUCCUAAUAAAAACAGCUGUUAAUUUUUGUCAUUACUUAAAAUUGUUAAAAAUAAAUAUAGAUUU